rnacentral:rRNA from 1 species
GAUGAACGCUAGCGGCAGGCUUAACACAUGCAAGUCGAGGGGCAGCGUGUCAGUAGCAAUACUGAUGACGGCGACCCGCGCAAGGGUGCGUAACGCGUGAGCAACAUGCCUGUUACGGGAGGAUAAUCCAGGGAAACUUGGUCUAAUACUCCAUAAUAUCACAGAGGGGCAUCCCUUAGUGAUUAAAGAUACGUCGGUAACAGAUUGGCUCGCGUGACAUUAGCUUGAUGGAGGGGUAACGGCCCCCCAUGGCUACGAUGUCUAGGGGUUCUGAGAGGAAGGUCCCCCACACUGGAACUGAGACACGGUCCAGACUCCUACGGGAGGCAGCAGUGAGGAAUAUUGGACAAUGGAUGGAAAUCUGAUCCAGCCAUGCCGCGUGAAGGAAGGCGGUCCUAUGGAUUGUAAACUUCUUUUGCGGGAGAGCAAUAAGGUGUACGUGUACACCGAUGAGAGUAUCCCGCGAAUAAGCAUCGGCUAACUCCGUGCCAGCAGCCGCGGUAAUACGGAGGAUGCGAGCGUUAUCCGGAUUUAUUGGGUUUAAAGGGUGCGUAGGCGGCGAUAGCAAGUCAGCGGUGAAAACACGUUGCCCAACAGCGUGCGUGCCGUUGAUACUGCGUUGCUGGAAUGACCCCGCUGUAUGCGGAAUGUGUAGUGUAGCGGUGAAAUGCAUAGAUAUUACACAGAACACCGAUUGCGAAGGCAGCAUACAAGAGGUUUAUUGACGCUGAGGCACGAAAGUGCGGGUAUCGAACAGGAUUAGAUACCCUGGUAGUCCGCACAGUAAACGAUGAUAACUAGCCGUAAGUCCGUUAGGAUUUGUGGCCAAGAGAAAUCGAUAAGUUAUCCACCUGGGGAGUACGGCCGCAAGGCUGAAACUCAAAGGAAUUGACGGGGGCCCGCACAAGCGGAGGAACAUGUGGUUUAAUUCGAUGAUACGCGAGGAACCUUACCCGGGCUCGAACGGUACAGGAGUCAUGCAGAGAUGUAUGAGGCAGCAAUGCCCUGUGCCGAGGUGCUGCAUGGUUGUCGUCAGCUCGUGCCGUGAGGUGUCGGCUUAAGUGCCAUAACGAGCGCAACCCUUCUCCACAGUUACCAUCAGGUUAAGCUGGGGACUCUGUGGACACUGCCACCGUAAGGUGUGAGGAAGGUGGGGAUGACGUCAAAUCAGCACGGCCCUUACGUCCGGGGCGACACACGUGUUACAAUGGCCGGUACAGAGGGAAGCGGGGCAGCGAUGCCGAGCCAAUCUCAAAAGCCGGUCCCAGUUCGGAUUGGAGUCUGCAACCCGACUCCAUGAAGUUGGAUUCGCUAGUAAUCGCGCAUCAGCCAUGGCGCGGUGAAUACGUUCCCGGGCCUUGUACACACCGCCCGUCAGGCCAUGGAAGCCGGGGGUGCCUGAAGUUCGAGACCGUAAGGAUCGGCCUAGGGCAAAACUGGUAACUGGGGC